CCCCACCUGACGAUUCGCCCACCGGCCGCAGCCCCCUUCCACAUUCUCCGAUGCCACCUCCAUUUCCCUCUCUCCCCCACGGCGAUCUGACCUCCCGGCGAUUCGACCCACCGGAUAUGGCCGCGAUGAGAUCUGCCCCUUUCACUCCGAUGGCACCUCCAUUUGCCUCCCCCGGCGAUCUGCCCCUUCCACCUUCUCCGACGCUUCCCUCUUCCGGCGGCGACGCCAGUCACCUCCACCAUCUCCCUCGACUGACACGCGCAGAAACAACAGUCCGCCGCUUUCCUUGGGGUCGGCGAAAUCGUCGGCUCCUCCCUCUCUUUCACGCAAUACAUGGUAAGAAUUAUAUUAGGAAAAAAUCCAUCGUUUUGUAAAGUUCUGAUCUUUUGCUUAGAAAGAAAAAAUUUUGGAAAGAAUUUUAACAAAGGAAACUUAAACCCUAGAUUUUUAUCUAUAAAUUCAUUACCUUGAAUUAUUAACGCCAGAAUCGUGUUUUUACAAUUCG
rnacentral:lncRNA from 1 species